UUCUGUGUGCACGAUGACGGUUUAGGAUUGUAAAGUGCUUUCAAUCGGGAAAAAGAAAGUGAUGGUACCGAUAGAAGAAGCGACGGCUAAAUACGUGCCAGCAGCCGCGGUAAUACGUAUGUGCAAGCGUUAUCCGGAUUUAUUGGGCGUAACGCGCGUCUAGGCGGUUUGGUAAGUCUGAUGUGGAAAUGCGGGGCUCAACUCCGUAUUGCGUUGGAAACUGCCAGACUAGAGUACUGGAGAGGUGGGCGGAACUACAAGUGUAGAGGUGAAAUUCGUAGAUAUUUGUAGGAAUGCCGAUAGAGAAGUC
rnacentral:rRNA from 1 species